CGGGCAGGAAGCUCCACCCUCACUCCAGGAAGCUCUGGCUUCGUUUGUGAAACCCGACGGGAUGAAGGGCUAGGCUCGCCUCCAGAGUAGUGUAGUUUCUCCCGCCGUGGGCACCCGGCCCCUUGCUACCCCGCAAAAUCUCGCGACCAUUUACUCUGGCCAUCCGAAGGCGCGUGCCUGGGUUGCACUCCCGUGUCCGGCCCUCGAGGUUCUUGCCUAGGGAAGACCCGAGCCCUAGGGCCGUACUUAAGCUGCCUGCGUGCAGGACCCGGGUUUUGCUUUUGCUAAUUUCCUCCCCACCCCAGGGGCUGGGCACUUACUGUGUGCAGGCGCUGUUCUAUGGACUCAGGAUACAUCAGCUACCGAAGCAAAGAUCCCUAACCUUGUGAAACUGACAUUCUGGUGGGAGGAC
rnacentral:lncRNA from 10 species